rnacentral:rRNA from 1 species
AUUGAACGCUGGCGGCAGGCCUAACACAUGCAGGUCGAGCGGUAGAGAGGAGCUUGCUUCUCUUGAGAGCGGCGGACGGGUGAGUAAUGCCUAGGAAUCUGCCUGGUAGUGGGGGAUAACGUUCGGAAACGGACGCUAAUACCGCAUACGUCCUACGGGAGAAAGUGGGGGAUCUUCGGACCUCACGCUAUCAGAUGAGCCUAGGUCGGAUUAGCUAGUUGGUGAGGUAAAGGCUCACCAAGGCGACGAUCCGUAACUGGUCUGAGAGGAUGAUCAGUCACACUGGAACUGAGACACGGUCCAGACUCCUACGGGAGGCAGCAGUGGGGAAUAUUGGACAAUGGGCGCAAGCCUGAUCCAGCCAUGCCGCGUGUGUGAAGAAGGUCUCCGGAUUGUAAAGCACUUUAAGUUGGGAGGAAGGUCAGUAGCUUAAUACGUUGCUGAUUUGACGUUACCGACAGAAUAAGCACCGGCUAACUCUGUGCCAGCCGCCGCGGUAAAAC